rnacentral:lncRNA from 1 species
GUCUUCGCAUUUUUACUAUAUUCUUAUUGGUAAGGCUCUUGAACUUAUGUUGGCAUCGAUUUCUUUCACAGAUGUCUUCUUGCGCAUGUGUGAAAAGAAACCUAGAAAUGAAAAACAGGUUUUCUUUUUUAAAGAAAUGAAGUAAAUUGGUGAAGAUAUUUAUAAAACUUCCCAUUCAGACUGUGGCUCUUACGAACGAUUUUCCAACUAGGAUCAGAGAUGUUCAUGUUCUGCGGAGCAGGCUCAUCCUCUGUGUCAUCAGAAAUAUGGGUGAUGUCACAUUUCCUGACUCUUUGCUCGCUGUCACCUCUGAAGUUCUCUUCGGAGCCAUUUCACAAGUUUUAUGGCUGUGUACAAGCAGUGAUGACUUUCGCUAACGACAGCUGGCCAACGCUGAUUAUCAGAUGUAUUCUGAUUUCAGAAAUACCAAAAUGGAAGAAGGAGACGCUCUGGAAAGUCGGCGCUGUGCAAGGCUGUAUCUAUACCAUUUGGAAAGCCUUUGCAGAACACUUGGUAAUUAAAUCUGCCCUCAGCUGGGAAAUGAUGCCCCAGGUUGUCUUGCCGGUAGGUAAAAGAAACUCCUUGAGCGCAGGAUGCUAUUUGUUCCCUCCACCCCUGAUUCUCCAGCUUCUGGAAGCAGUGCCCGGCGCAGUGUAAGUCUUCUGAGAGUGGUGCUUGGUUGGACACCUGAAUGUGUGAGCAAACGACUGACUGAAUGAACGAAAGAACAAAUAAAUGAAUGCAGGCUGUUGACUACAAUAUAGUUCCAAAGAGAGUUCUAGAACCCCGGAUCCCUCACAGGCUUGGUGUAAGACAGGAACAUACGUAGAGUCUAAGGUGUCACCUACGUCUGUCAGCAAUCAUCUGUACAAUUGAAAGAAACCCCCUCACCUUCUGGCACAGCAUCUGACAUAUUACACUGUUGAAGGUUCCUUAAGGGAGAGGUCUUGGGGAGAUGACCUGGUGUUCAAUUCAUUCCAACAAGGAAAUGGGGGGAUAUACUAGCGAGGUCCUCUCAGGGUCCCCUGGGGAUAGACCCGCCAUCACACAUUACCUGGAUGGACAGGGCCCCUUCGUCCAGUGUGGGUGUUCUAGUAUUAGCUUGAAGUUCCUCCACAAAGACUCUUUCCUUGGACAAAGAAAAGUAUUUUAC